GGGAGAGUAUGGUCGCAAGGCUGAAACUUAAAGGAAUUGACGGAAGGGCACCACCAGGAGUGGAGCCUGCAGCUUAAUUUGACUCAACACGGGGAAACUUACCAGGUCCAAACAUAGUAAGGAUUGACAGACUGAGAGCUCUUUCUUGAUUCUAUGGGUGGUGGUGCAUGGUCGUUCUUAGUUGGUGGAGCGAUUUGUCUGGUUAAUUUUGUUAACGAAUGAGACCUCAUCCUGCUAACUAGCUAUACGGAGGUAUCCCUUCGCGGCCAGCUUCUUAGAGGGACUACGACCUUUUAGGCCGCGGAAGUUUGAGGCAAUAACAGGUCUGUGAUGCGCUUAGAUGUUCUGGGCUGCACGCGCGGUACACUGAUAUAUUCAACGAGUUUAUAUUCUUAGCCGACAGGCCCGAGUAAUCUUUAAAAUUUUAUCGUGAUAAGGAUAGAUCAUUGCAAUUGUUGGUCUUCAACGAGGAAUUCCUAGUAAGCGCGAGUCAUCAGCUCGCGUUGACUACGUACCUGCCCUUUGUGCACACCGCCCGUCGCUCCUACCGAUUGAAUGAUUCGUUGAAAUAUUCGUAUUGCAGCGAUGUGGGCGGUUAGAUGCGCGCGACAUCGCGAGAAGUCCAUUGAACCUUAUCAUUUAGAGGAAGGAGAAUUCAUAACAAGGUUUCUGUAGGUGAACCUGCGGAAA
rnacentral:ncRNA from 1 species